rnacentral:misc_RNA from 1 species
GUGAAUCAUCAAAUUUUUGAACGCACAUUGCACUCCCUGGUAUUCCGGGGAGUAUGCUUGCUUGAGGGUUAGUUUAUUACAAGCGUCUAAAGAAAUUUUUACGGCUCUUGAUUUUCCAAAAGUUAGAUUUUUGGUAAUCUAAAAUUUAUCAUAACAAUAGAUGAUGGUGGAAAUGUGUAUUUUUGCUUCAUUAACCAUUAUUACCAAAUUCGUUACGUCGUGGUAUUUUCCUAAUUUCUUAAUUAGGUACAAGAAAU